rnacentral:misc_RNA from 1 species
GAUGAAGAACGCAGCGAAAUGCGAUAAGUAAUGUGAAUUGCAGAAUUCAGUGAAUCAUCGAAUCUUUGAACGCAUCUUGCGCUCCUUGGUAUUCUGAGGAGCAUGCCUGUUUGAGUGUCAUUAAAUUCUCAACUACACUGACUUUGAAUUGGUGUUGCUUGGAUUUGGGGGGAAAAUUGUUGUGGGCUUUUUGUAUAGUCUGCUCCCCUGAAAUUGAUUAGCGGUACCUUUGUGGAACUGUCUACAGGUGUGAUAAUUAUCUACAUCUUAGACAUCUGCUGGAAUGCUGCUUUCUAAACCUUACUUGUAUUGACAAUCUUGACCUCAAAUCAGGUAGGACUACCCGCUGAACUUAAGCAUAUCAAUAAGCGGAGGA